rnacentral:misc_RNA from 1 species
AGAAGACCUACUACAGUCCUGACCCCCAUCCUGUUGGGCACUCUCCUAGUCCCCACCAUUCUCAUAAGAAACCUGUAUGCACUCCUCCAACCUCCCAUGGCAACCACUAUGGGAGCAGUGGUACACCUACGCCACCGUACGGGAGCAACGGAAGCUACGGGACACCAUCGACACCCUCAUACACUACUCCAUCGGCACCCUCACAAGGGAGUGGAGGAUAUUAUGGUACCCCGGCCGUUGUUCCUCCUCCUGCCAGUACCACUCCGGUGGUCGAGCCUCCGGUGAUAUCGACACCUAUCACUCCGGUGAUAUCGGCUCCGGUAAUUCCUGUUGACCCAUCA